AGUGAACGCUGGCGGUAGGCCUAACACAUGCAAGUCGAACGGCAGCACAGUAAGAGCUUGCUCUUACGGGUGGCGAGUGGCGGACGGGUGAGGAAUACAUCGGAAUCUACUUUUUCGUGGGGGAUAACGUAGGGAAACUUACGCUAAUACCGCAUACUACCUACGGGUGAAAGCAUGGGAUCUUCGGACCUUGCGCGAUUGAAUGAGCCGAUGUCGGAUUAGAUAGUUGGCGGGGUAAAGGCACACCAAGGCGGCGAUCCGUAGCUGGUCGGAGAGGAUGAGCAGCCACACUGGAACUGAGACACGGUCCAGACUCCUACGGGAGGCAGCAGUGGGGAAUAUUGGACAAUGGGCGCAAGCCUGCUCCAGCCAUACCGCGUGGGUGAAGAAGGCCUUCGGGUUGUAAAGCCCUUUUGUUGGGAAAGAAAAGCAGCAGGUUAAUACCCCGCUGUUCUGACGGUACCCAAAGAAUAAGCACCGGCUAACUUCGUG
rnacentral:rRNA from 1 species